rnacentral:tRNA from 2 species
GCGGGAAUAGCUCAGUUGGUAGAGCACCACGUUGCCAACGUGGAUGUCGCGAGUUCGAGUCUCGUUUCCCGCUCCA